UGGAGUGUCUCUGUUGGCAAC
rnacentral:siRNA from 1 species